rnacentral:tRNA from 1 species
UCUCUGUUAGUAUAUCGGUUAGUACACGCGCCUGUCAUUGCGGCAUUGAUCGGUGGGUCGCGCGAAAGCUGGGUUCGACUCCCAGACAGAGAG